AGGUCUUGCUGUAACAGCAUCAAUCUAUGAUGUUGCUAUGGACUGAAUAUUUUUAUCUCCUUAAAACUUCGUGUUGAAAUUUAACCUUUAGUACAACAGUAUUGGGAAUUAUGGUUUACCCUUCAUGAAUGAUAUUGGGUGCUUAAUGGAAUUGAGACUUGAUAAAAGGGGUUUGAUCAUUUUUUCCAUCCUUUCCUCCCUUGCACCACGUGGGAAUAUAGCAUUCCUCCCUCUGAAGGAUGCAGCAACACAGUACCAUGCUGGAAGCGCAAAGGAGCCCUCACCAGAACCUCUCAGUACCUUCUGUUGGACUUCACAGCCUCCAGAACUAGAAGAACAAUGAACUUGAAUAACCAAAGAAGGCAGAAGAUGUGUACUGUGUUUCCUGAAUGAGAAGAGAUUGGAAAUUAACAACAAAACUAUAUGAUGGCUUAUGUUUCAAUAAAAUAUUAAAGAAACUCUGAGAUAUGGCAAAUAAAGAAG
rnacentral:lncRNA from 1 species